GACCCGCACAAGCGGUGGAUGAUGUGGUUUAAUUCGAUGCAACGCGAAAAACCUUACCUACCCUUGACAUGUCAGGAAUCCUUCAGAGAUGAGGGAGUGCUCGCAAGAGAACCUGAACACAGGUGCUGCAUGGCUGUCGUCAGCUCGUGUCGUGAGAUGUUGGGUUAAGUCCCGCAACGAGCGCAACCCUUGUCAUUAGUUGCUACGAAAGGGCACUCUAAUGAGACUGCCGGUGACAAACCGGAGGAAGGUGGGGAUGACGUCAAGUCCUCAUGGCCCUUAUGGGGUAGGGGCUACACACGUCAUACAAUGGGCUGGGUACAAAGGGCUGCCAACCCGCGAGGGGAGCCAAUCCUAUAAAACCAGUCGUAGUCCGGAUUGCACUCUGCAACUCGAGUGCAUGAAGUCGGAAUCGCUAGUAAUCGUGGAUCAGCAUGUCACGGUGAAUACGUU
rnacentral:rRNA from 1 species